UGGGGAAUUUUGGACAAUGGGCGAAAGCCUGAUCCAGCAAUGCCGCGUGUGUGAAGAAGGCCUUCGGGUUGUAAAGCACUUUUGUCCGGAAAGAAAUCCUUGGCUCUAAUACAGUCGGGGGAUGACGGUACCGGAAGAAUAAGCACCGGCUAACUACGUGCCAGCAGCCGCGGUAAUACGUAGGGUGCAAGCGUUAAUCGGAAUUACUGGGCGUAAAGCGUGCGCAGGCGGUUUGCUAAGACCGAUGUGAAAUCCCCGGGCUCAACCUGGGAACUGCAUUGGUGACUGGCAGGCUAGAGUAUGGCAGAGGGGGGUAGAAUUCCACGUGUAGCAGUGAAAUGCGUAGAGAUGUGGAGGAAUACCGAUAGCGAAGGCAGCCCCCUGGGCCAAUACUGACGCUCAUGCACGAAAGCGUGGGGAGCAAACAGGAUUAGAUACCCUGAUAGUCCACGCCUAAACGAUGUCAACUAGUUGUUGGGGAUUCAUUUCCUUAGUAACGUAGCUAACGCGUGAAGUUGACCGCCUGGGGAGUACGGUCGCAAGGUUAAAACUCAAAGGAAUUGACGGGGUCAUAGCUGUUUCCU
rnacentral:rRNA from 1 species